GUUACAAUUGUUUUAUAUUUUGACGCUGAUUGCUAAUAUAAGAGUUUAAAAUGUCCUACUGGUAGGCAAGCCUACCAAGGAAACAAUGAGUACGCAAAAAACAGGGUUAAAUAGAACCGGUCAGACCGGCCUAAAAUACGUAAUGAUCCUUCCGCAGGUUCACCUACGGAAA
rnacentral:misc_RNA from 1 species